rnacentral:rRNA from 1 species
AGUGGCGGACGGGUGAGUAACACGUAAGAAUUUGCCUUUAGGGGGGGGAUAACAACUGGAAACGGUUGCUAAUACCCCAUAUGCUUUCGAGUGAAAUGGAUUUCCGCCUAAAGAGAAGCUUGCGGCUGAUUAGCUUGUUGGUGAGGUAAUGGCUCACCAAGGCGACGAUCAGUAUCUGGUUUGAGAGGACGAUCAGACACACUGGAACUGAGACACGGUCCAGACUCCUACGGGAGGCAGCAGUGGGGAAUUUUCCGCAAUGGGCGAAAGCCUGACGGAGCAAUACCGCGUGAGGGAUGAAGGCCUAUGGGUUGUAAACCUCUUUUUUCAGGGAGGAACAAAAUGACGUGUACCUGAAGAAUAAGCAUCGGCUAACUCCGUGCCAGCAGCCGCGGUAAGACGGGGGAUGCAAGUGUUAUCCGGAAUCACUGGGCGUAAAGCGUCUGUAGGUGGUUAAGUAAGUCAACUGUUAAAUCUUGAGGCUUAACCUCAAAAUCGCAGUCGAAACUGCUUGACUAGAGUAUAGUAGGGGUAAAGGGAAUUUCCAGUGGAGCGGUGAAAUGCGUAGAUAUUGGAAAGAACACCGAUGGCGAAGGCACUUUACUGGGCUAUUACUAACACUGAGAGACGAAAGCUAGGGUAGCAAAUGGGAUUAGAUACCCCAGUAGUCCUAGCUGUAGACAAUGGAUACUAGAUGUUG